GAGGCUCAAAUUAGACAACCCACACCCAAAACCCAUAAAACCCCUAAGUCUUCAUCUUCCCCAAGAAACCUAGAGACUAAAAAAACAACCAAAAAACAGGAAUAAUGGUUGACGACCAAACUCGACCGCCCAGCAGCAUCCUCUUCACCAACGCCUCCAGCCGCCGGCUACCACCUCAAAAACCACCGGAAAUCAGCAACCUAACACCCAUGUAACCUAAGCAGCGAGACCACCACCCUAAGUAGACCAGCGACAAGAACAACCUCCCCCAUCGUUGCUUCUUCUUCUCACCUUCAAAUUCGCCGGAAUCCGCCAUCCUUCAACACACCCCAAUCUAAUUCCUCAUCUCUUCUUAAAAAAACAAAAAAAAAAGAACCCAAAAUAGAGAGACGAGAAAGAAAAGAAAGAAAAACAGAGGGUCAAAACAAACGUUAUUCUUUACUUUCAAACUCAGAUUUUAGUUUUCUUGAAAUUCAAAAGCUAGGAAUUUUGUUUCUUCAUUUUAUUUUCUUUUUGAUUUCAGGUUUGGUUUAGAAAAUUAUGGUAUUUGCUUGAGAUUUGGAAGUUUGCUAUUUUGGUUGUCGUUUCGAGUAAGGCUGAUAGUUGAUGUUGGAGUUCGCAGUUUUCGGACCAAUUUUGUUGUUGCUUAAUCAGUCGAAUUUUACGCUCAAGUUUUAUAUCAGUUGAUCUUCAAAUCUGCACAUUGAGGUACACACUCGAAUCUCUACUGAUGUAACACUAAAGGCAUGAAAUGAAAGAUGCAAAGGAGCCUGGUCAUUUGCUGCACUUACAACUUUUUUAAAUGUGUUUAGGCUUGUGUAACUUUCAGUUUAUAGCUCAUUAAAAGAUACAUUUGUGCAAUAUGUACUUAAUAGAAGUUUAGUCUAUUUAACACUAUGUGGUUAUAGUUGUUAAGUUGUCUGUAUGACGAGGAGUGCGUGUGUGUUUAGUAUAUCGGCAGUUAAAUCUCAA